rnacentral:rRNA from 1 species
AGGACGAACGCUGGCGGUGUGCUUCACACAUGCAAGUCGAACGAGGUAGCAAUACCUAGUGGCGGACGGGUGAGUAACGCGUGGGAAUCUGCCUUUGAAUGGGGGAUAACGGGCCGAAAGGUCCGCUAAUACCGCAUAGGCCGCAAGGUUAAAGGAGUAAUCCGUUCAAAGAUGAGCCCGCGUCCGAUUAGCUAGUUGGUAGGGUAAAAGCCUACCAAGGCGACGAUCGGUAGCUGGUCUGAGAGGAUGAUCAGCCACAAUGGGACUGAGACACGGCCCAUACUCCUACGGGAGGCAGCAGUGGGGAAUUUUACGCAAUGGGCGAAAGCCUGACGUAGCGACACCGCGUGAGCGAAGAAGCCCUUUGGGGUGUAAAGCUCUGUCAGCUGGAACGAAAAAAAUGACGGUACCAGCAGAGGAAGCAUCGGCUAACUACGUGCCAGCAGCCGC